GAACGCGAAGAACCUUACCCGGGCUUGAACUAAGAGUGACAGAUUUAGAGAUAGAUUUUUCUUCGGACACUCUUGGAGGUGCUGCAUGGUUGUCGUCAGCUCGUGCCGUGAGGUGUCGGCUUAAGUGCCAUAACGAGCGCAACCCUUUUCCUUGGUUGCCAUCAGGUAAUGCUGGGCACUCCAGGGAUACUGCCAUCGUAAGAUGUGAGGAAGUGGGGAUGACGUCAAAUCAGCACGGCCCUUACGUCCGGGGCUACACACGUGUUACAAUGGGGGGUACAGAAGGUCGCUACCUGGUGACAGGAUGCUAAUCUCCAAAACCUCUCUCAGUUCGGAUUGGAGUCUGCAACCCGACUCCAUGAAGCUGGAUUCGCUAGUAAUCGCGCAUCAGCCAUGGCGCGGUGAAUACGUUCCCGGGUCUUGUACACACC
rnacentral:rRNA from 1 species